UCCUGGUUUCCCAGGCAGUUCCAUCAGAGUGCUUUACUUACGUAAAUAGCAACUGACGGCAAGGGUUGCGCUCGUUAGAGGACUUAACCCAACAUCUCACGACACGAGCUGACGACAGCCAUGCAGCACCUGUGCAAUUGUCUGGACCGAAGCCCAGAAGACUGUAUUUCUACAGCUGUCAAAAGCAUGUCAAGCCUAGGUAAGGUUCCUCGCGUAGUGUCGAAUUAAACCACAUGUUCCACCGCUUGUGCGGGCCCCCGUCAAUUUCUUUAAGUUUUAGUCUUGCGACCGUAAUCCCCAGGCGGAUCACUUAACGCGUUAGCUACGACACUAAUUCCAUACGGAACUAACGUCUAGUGAUCAUCGUUUACGGCGUGGACUAC
rnacentral:misc_RNA from 1 species